rnacentral:rRNA from 1 species
UACGUAGGGGGCGAGCGUUGUCCGGAAUCAUUGGGCGUAAAGCGCGUGUAGGCGGCCCGGUAAGUCCGCUGUGAAAGUCCAGGGCUCAACCCUGGGAUGCCGGUGGAUACUGUCGGGCUCGAGUCCGGAAGAGGAGAGUGGAAUUCCUGGUGUAGCGGUGAAAUGCGCAGAUAUCAGGAAGAACACCCGUGGCGAAGGCGGCUCUCUGGUACGUGACUGACGCUGAGGUGCGAAAGCGUGGGGAGCAAACAGG